CCAGAGUCGUAAGUAAAGGUUCUCGAAUUAACUCCGAAAUAACUAACUUCAGUGAAUUUAAUUAACAAAUGAGUUUAUUUAACUAUUUAAAAUACACUUUGAAUUUAUACGAUUUGACAACUGCCGUGAAGUACGUCGUCAUUAGAAUUUAU